rnacentral:rRNA from 1 species
GACGAACGCUGGCGGCGUGCUUAACACAUGCAAGUCGAACGAAGAGCGAUGGAAGCUUGCUUCUAUCAAUCUUAGUGGCGAACGGGUGAGUAACGCGUAAUCAACCUGCCCUUCAGAGGGGGACAACAGUUGGAAACGACUGCUAAUACCGCAUACGAUGUAAUCUCGGCAUCGAGGAUAGAUGAAAGGUGGCCUCUAUUUAUAAGCUAUCACUGAAGGAGGGGAUUGCGUCUGAUUAGCUAGUUGGAGGGGUAACGGCCCACCAAGGCGAUGAUCAGUAGCCGGUCUGAGAGGAUGAACGGCCACAUUGGGAGUGAGACACGGCCCAGACUCCUACGGGAGGCAGCAGUGGGGAAUCUUCCGCAAUGGACGAAAGUCUGACGGAGCAACGCCGCGUGAGUGAUGACGGCCUUCGGGUUGUAAAGCUCUGUUAAUCGGGACGAAAGGC